AACGAACGCUGGCGGCGUGCUUAACACAUGCAAGUCGAACGCGAAAGGGGCUUCGGUCCUGAGUAAAGUGGCGCACGGGUGAGUAACGCGUGGAUAAUCUACCCGAUGGACCGGGAUAACAUUUCGAAAGGGGUGCUAAUACCGGAUAAGACCACGAGCACUUAGGUGUUUGCGGUAAAAGGUGGGGACCUUCGGGCCUACCGUCAAUGGAUGAGUCCGCGUACCAUUAGCUAGUUGGUGGGGUAAGAGCCUACCAAGGCGACGAUGGUUAGCUGGUCUGAGAGGAUGAUCAGCCACACUGGAACUGAGACACGGUCCAGACUCCUACGGGAGGCAGCAGUGGGGAAUUUUGCGCAAUGGGGGAAACCCUGACGCAGCAACGCCGCGUGAGUGAUGAAGGCCUUCGGGUCGUAAGCUCUGUCAGAGGGGAAGAAAUAGCAGGGGCGCUAAUAUCGCUUAUGCUUGACGGUACCCUCAAAGAAGCACCGGCUAACUCCGUGCCAGCAGCCGAC
rnacentral:rRNA from 1 species